rnacentral:lncRNA from 1 species
GGGGACUAUUAGAAGAAAGGGGGAGGGAGGGGGGCAUGGGGUGAAUAACUACCUAUUGGGUGCUAUGCUCACUACCUGGGUGAUGGGACCAUUUGUAUCCCAAACUUCAGCAUCACGUGAUAUACCCACAUAACAAACCUGCACAUGUACACCCUGCACCUUAAAUAAAAGCAGAAAAUACAUGUAUUCUUAUUUUGAUUUUUUCCAACCCUUUACAUAUGUAAUCAUUUUUCUUAACUUGAAGGUUUACAGAAUUGCCCAGGGAGCUAUAGUUUGCAGACCUCUGACACGUCUCAAGUUUGACUAAGUAGUCGAAGACGCUAAACUGGCAGCACCCAUCCAAGUGAACAGAUUUGCCUUUGACGGCCCAGUGAGCUACUCUUUAAGAUGAGAACAACAAUAUUUUAUCCUGUCAUGGAAGGCAGGGGACUGGACUAGUUAAUUUCUUGUACCCAUCAGUUCUGGGAUCAUAAAAUCCUAUGAAUUAGAGAAAACCAACUGUAUGCUGGUGCCAGACUCUUGAACAUGAAGCAAGUAUGCAACAGACCAAUGUUUCAGCAUGUGCCUGCCCACAUGACAAACUGUUGUUUAUAGAGCACCAACUAUGCACACAAUAAUGAUGAUGACAAGUCAUUUUUGAGUGUUUACUCCUCACAACAGCCCCAUGAACUAGUUUGUAUCAUUAUCCCCACUUAAAAAAUAUAGAAACGGAGGCACAGGGAAGCCAAGUCAUUUGUCCACAGCACAAAAUCAAUAAGCAGCAGAGAUGACUUUGAACAGAGACCAUCUGUUGAAACUGACUGCAAAGAGGCACAGGGAAUUUUGAGGGGUGAUGGAAAUGUUUUUUUAUUAUAAAAUUAAAUGUCAAAGGUGGAGAACUGUUUCCCAGAGAGCAGUUUCGAAACUAUUUGUAGCUAAGUUUAAUUUGUUAUAUUUUAUUUUUAUUAUAAAUUUUUUUUUUUUUGAGAGAUGAGGCCUCACUGUGUUGCCCAGGCUGGAGUGCAGUGGCAUGAUC